AGCGAUACUGGAGCUUCUACAGGUUGGCAAUCCGGAUCUUCCAACUCAAGAUUGGAAGGUCGUCAGGGUUUCUCAACCUGUAGGAAGCUCCAGAAGGAUUGUUGUGAUCCUGAACCAGGAGUCUUUGGCGCCGCUUCGCGAGAAACAAGGGAAGGUCUACUACGGCUUCGAGUCGAUCUUCCUCCGUGUCUACCGAGGCGAUGACAAGGGACUAUUGGAACAGGAUGAUCCCGAUCCUGACCAAUCCGCUGCGGAUAUGUCUUGCGACGAGACUGACCUUUCGCUGAGUCAAUCAACUUCUAAGUUGGUUAAGGAGGGGGAAGAGUCAGUUGACGAGGACGAUCUCCUUGCCUCUGACAAGGAGGACGCCAACGUCACAGUGUUGCGUAAGGACAAAAAAGGAGAUGGUGAGAGUAACCCAAAUUAAUCUCCACCACUCCAAAGCAGCCUCGGCUGCACUGCUCCUCCGAAUGGGUGUAAGUGGGGAGGAGCUCGCCCUAGUCCAGGAACCCUGGAUUCACCAAGAAAGGGUGAGUGGACUAGGCAUGAAAAGCUUUAAGCUAUUGUACGCAAAAGGAUCUGUGAUGAAGACACCGUAGCAGCCAUAUGGGAGACCAGUGUAGGUGCUAUAUUGGUUAUCUCGGCGUACAUGGCUCACGACCACAGCGACCAGCCACCGAACAACCUGGUCUGCAGAUCCAUAGAGAUGGCAAACUCGAAAAGCAUGCCGAUCAUUAUGGGGGCUGAUGCCAAUGCCCAUCACACUGUCUGGGGAAGCUCGGACAUAAACGCUAGAGGUAUCACAAAGGGAUCAAAAUUCUGGACCCAAGUGUGUCCCCAGUGAUGACAUCGCGAGGACGACCUGCCUACCUAACCUAA